UGCGGUUGGAUCACCUCCUUUCAAGGAUGUUUCCUGAUACGUUGGGAGACGCCGACAUAAAGUCCUGUUUUGGAUCAAGACAGGCACGCCGGACGCUUUUGGGUCGGAUGACUGAAGCGCCGUCAACAUAUCCCUUCCUUACGAUGUUAUGGGCUAGUAGCUCAGUUGGUUAGAGCACACGCUUGAUAAGCGUGGGGUCGGAGGUUCAAGUCCUCCCUGGCCCACCACGGUUGCGUGGUGGCGACAAGCCAUUUGGGGGCGUAGCUCAGCUGGGAGAGCACCUGCUUUGCAAGCAGGGGGUCGUCGGUUCGAUCCCGUCCGCCUCCACCAGUGCUUGUCGCGAUGAGAUGAGAGAAGACGUCGUAAGGGAUGAGGGAAGAGAGUUUCGUCCUUGUCCAUCCUGUGUGCCGGCACGAUUGUGCUGGCCCGGGUUUGGGUGAUGAUGGAAGAAGUUGGUUCUUUGUCAGUGUGAAUAGGUUGGUGCGCUCUCUGGGUGUUGCCGCGAUCCGGGUUGGUCUGACCCGUCGGAUCGGCAUGAUGGAAAGGAUGGUCCUUGUGGCUGUCGGCUCCGGAUGUGCCGGUUCGAUGCUAAGGAUGGCGGCAUAUGGCGGUCAGAGAGCGAGAAAAGAAUUGUGUUGCGUGCGAUGCACUGCACUUUCUUGUGUGGAGUGGUUUGAAGCGUGCCCCGUCUGGGGAGCUUGCGUGGAUGGCUGCUGUGCAUGUGUGGUGUGUGAGCAUGAGAAGGGCAUUCGGUGGAUGCCUUGGCAUC
rnacentral:tRNA from 1 species